GGCAAUUAGAAGGACUGUUAGCCCUAGUUAAUGUGGUCAAGUGAUGUCAAUUGUUUAGUUUUUAGGUGCAAGGAACAGAACCGACGCUGCUGGACUUAAGGAGCAAAGGAAUUUAUCAGAAGGAUAUUGGAUGGCUUGCAGGAACCUGAGAGGCCCAGAGCCAGGCACUGAGGCUCUGCAGCCAGGAACAAUUGCCCACAAGAAAGCCUUAGAAACACUUCUGUGCUGGACCCCACAAGUUCCACCACUGACAACACGGGAUCAAUAAUGCGGCUACGGUCACUGCCAUCAUCUGCUCUGUACCGCACCUGCUUCUUCCAAACCCCUGAUUUCUCAUCAAUCAGGGUUAGGGAAGAUGUCCCUGACUGGCCUGUGCCUUCAGUUGUGCUCAAGGAGCUGGAAAAGCAAGAUCUGGUACUUUCUGAUUCUCUAGUGGGAAUGGGUUCUGCUCAAAUAGAGAAAGGGGCUUUCAAGGUUGGCCUGUCAGUAUGACUAGCACACUCUACUCUUCCCUCCUGGUUUAUUUUCCCACUAUAGAUAGAGUGGUACUUAUCUAGCUGUCCUAGCCUUAAGGGGUGGGAAUGCCAGGUUUACAAAUAAAAAUACAGGUCAG
rnacentral:lncRNA from 1 species